rnacentral:rRNA from 1 species
AGAUUGAACGCUGGCGGCAUGCCUUACACAUGCAAGUCGAACGGCAGCACGGGAGCAAUCCUGGUGGCGAGUGGCGAACGGGUGAGUAAUACAUCGGAACGUGCCUAGUAGUGGGGGAUAGCCCGGCGAAAGCCGGAUUAAUACCGCAUACGACCUACGGGUGAAAGCGGGGGAUCGCAAGACCUCGCGCUAUUGGAGCGGCUGAUGUCAGAUUAGGUAGUUGGUAGGGUAAAAGCCUACCAAGCCGACGAUCUGUAGCUGGUCUGAGAGGACGACCAGCCACACUGGGACUGAGACACGGCCCAGACUCCUACGGGAGGCAGCAGUGGGGAAUUUUGGACAAUGGGCGCAAGCCUGAUCCAGCCAUGCCGCGUGCGGGAAGAAGGCCUCGGUGUAACCGACGUUUGUCAGGAAGAAACGACACGUGGCGAAUAUCCUGGUGUAAGUGACGGUACCGUACGAAGAAUAAGACACCGGACUAACUACGUA